rnacentral:rRNA from 1 species
AGCCAUGCAUGUCUAAGCACAUGCCUUAAUACGGUGAAGCCGCGAAUAGCUCAUUACAACAGCCAUCGUUUACUAGAAAAUAUUUAUCCUACUUGGAUAACUGUGGCAAUUCUAGAGCUAAUACAUGCAAAAAAGCUCAGACUGAAAGGAAUGAGCGCAUUUAUUAGAAUAAAAACCAAUCGGGUCUAAAAGCCCGCUGUUUGGUGAAUCUGAAUAACUUUGCUGAUCGCACGGUCUAGUACCGGCGACGUAUCUUUCAAGUGUCUGCCUUAUCAACUUUCGAUGGUAGGUUAUACGCCUACCAUGGUAGUAACGGGUAACGGAGAAUAAGGGUUCGACUCCGGAGAGGGAGCCUGAGAAACGGCUACCACAUCCAAGGAAGGCAGCAGGCGCGCAAAUUACCCACUUCCAGAACGGAGAGGUAGUGACGAAAAAUAACGAGACAGUCCUCUCUGAGGUCUGUCAUCGGAAUGGGUACAAUUUAAAUCCUUUAACGAGGAUCUAUUGGAGGGCAAGUCUGGUGCCAGCAGCCGCGGUAAUUCCAGCUCCAAUAGCGUAUAUUAAAGUUGUUGCGGUUAAAACGCUCGUAGUUGAAUCUGCGGCCUGGGAGAAUGGACCCCCGAAAGGGUGGUAACUGUUACUCCUAGCCUAAAUUUUUAGUCUACUCUAUGGUGCCUUUAACCGGGUGCUUAGAGUGACUGGAACGUUUACUUUGAAAAAAUUAGAGUGCUUAAAGCAGGCGAAUUUGCCUGAAUAAGGUGCAUGGAAUAAUGGAAUAGGACCUCGGUUCUAUUUUGUUGGUUUUCGGAGCCUGAGGUAAUGAU